ACGCACGCUGGCGGCGUGCUUAACACAUGCAAGUCGAACGAUGAAGCGGGUGCUUGCACUCGUGGAUUAGUGGCGAACGGGCGAGUAACACGUGAGUAACCUGUCCUUUUCUUUGGGAUAACGGCUGGAAACGGCUGCUAAUACUGGAUAUUCAGGCUGCAUCGCAUGGUGUGGUUUGGAAAGGUUUUUUCUGGGAUUGGGUGGGCUCGCGGCCUAUCAGCUUGUUGGUGGGGUGAUGGCUUACCAAGGCUUUGACGGGUAGCCGGCCUGAGAGGGUGGUCGGUCGCACUGGGACUGAGAUACGGCCCAGACUCCUACGGGAGGCAGCAGUGGGGAAUAUUGCACAAUGGACGAAAGUUUGAUGCAGCGACGCCGCGUGGAGGGUGUAGGCCUUCGGGUUGUGAACUCCUUUGUCUCGCGAAAAAGGCACAGUUUUGGCUGUGUUGAUGGUAGUGGGGGAAGAAGCGCCGGCUAACUACGUG
rnacentral:rRNA from 1 species